UACGAAGGGGGCUAGCGUUGCUCGGAAUUACUGGGCGUAAAGGGCGCGUAGGCGGACAUUUAAGUCAGGGGUGAAAUCCCAGAGCUCAACUCUGGAACUGCCUUUGAUACUGGAUGUCUUGAGUGUGAGAGAGGUAUGUGGAACUCCGAGUGUAGAGGUGAAAUUCGUAGAUAUUCGGAAGAACACCAGUGGCGAAGGCGACAUACUGGCUCUUUACUGACGCUGAGGCGCGAAAGCGUGGGGAGCAAACAGG
rnacentral:rRNA from 1 species